rnacentral:lncRNA from 1 species
AAACAAUAUUAAGUCAAUUAAUUGUUGAAGGCCAGUUUCUCAGCCUCAUAGAAAGAAAAAAGUGUAUUUGUCAUGUGAUGUUUUAAAAUUAAGUAUCCUUAACCUCAGACAUAACGUCCAAUAAAAUCUAAGUAUGAUGUAUACAAGCUGAAGCCCCGCCUAUCUUAAUUACCAUGCUUGAGCAAUCACUGAUACAAACAAAGCAAGCAAGCCAAACAAAGAUUUGUCUUGCUAGCAUUAAUGUAAAAGCUGUAAAAGUUUGCAAUUUUUAACACUUGCUUCUAUUCUGUUCAGUAAUUAAGGGGAGGCAAUUCAAUCCAGGGGGAGAUAACUGUUAAUCCCAUGUUAAAAGUUUGAUGUCCUAUUCCGUAGGAUUACUGGUGGGUUGGAUACCAAAGAAAAGCAACUAUUCUUGCAAUCCAUGUAAAAAAAAGUCUAUAGUUUCAUUUACUUUAAUAGGUACACAUACUAAGAAGUUAUUUUAGAUAACAACUAUUACUGUAAUGGUUGUAAUUUUAACAUAUAAAAAUACAAUUUAACUGUUUCCGCUUUUGAAUCUAUCAUAGAAGUAAAUUUUUGCUGUAAAAAAAAGUCAGCAAAAUUGCAUGCAUGAAAUUUGAAAAAUAGAGCAAGAAAACUUUUAUGUAAAAAUAUUUUUAACUUUUUUUUCUUCAAAAUGACAUACAUUUAUUGACAUGAAAAUAACAAUGAAUAAAAAAAAUCAAUGUACUAAAAAGUGUAGCAUACAAAAAUCAA